UCAAAACCCUAAUUUCAUUCUCAUUCCCCUCUCGCUCUCACGUUGGCUCUAGUUCUAUGGCUUCAUUGCUUAAGUAUGGAAGCAACAAUGGAGGAAUCAAUCGGUAGUGUUGUGGUGAUGAUGAUGAUUGACUAUUCUUAUGAGUUUUUAUCGAUCGCGAUGGUUCGAUUUCAUUAUCGGAGGACGAAGGCUUGAAUCGUUUUAGUUCCUGAAAUAGAGCAACGGAUCAUUCAAGGCAGAGCCUAUGUGUAACUCCAACUAUGUCUGUGAAGGAGUUUAAUGUCAGAUACAUAUGGCAGAAAAGGGGGAUUCCUCUGAAUUACGUUUUGACCAACUCAAGGAACUGUUCUGAAGCGGGUAGACUUUGCUACAGUAUCAAAGUAUUGGAUUCUGGAGAAUGCUCCAAUUAAUGACAUGGGAUAUGCUCGUUCAAUAGGCUGCUCAAUUUGUGGACCUAUUAGCUUGAACUUUCUACAAACCAAAGACUUCUUCUGUGGAGUUUGGAGCUAAUGAGGCUGGUUUAAUUGGCUCAGGAUGACUAUGUUCCUGAUGGUAUAACGAGAGUGAGACUGGUGUAACAGAAGUGAGACUGCCCAGAUUUUAUAAAUUCCCCAUGCUCAUAUUCAUCAAGCUGAAAAAUGCAUGGUCUCGAGGUAAUUUCUUAACCCUUUGACGUGCUUAAAAUUAACUCUUCAGUAUCAAUAGGCAGAAGUAUGACAUCCAUGGAGCUUGUGGAUUUUUUUAUUCUGCAUAUGUGAGAUAAGGUAUGUGAAUUUCUAUUUCUUCUAUAUCUUAUGUUUCGUUGUACUACUUCUUUUAAGCUUAAUCUUCUUCUUUUUUGGUUUUAUGUCGUUUAAUAAAUUCAUGUUGUGUAAACAUUAGGAGUAUUAAACAACUUACAUAGAUAUUCUAACAUCACAUAUUCUUUGCAGGCGGCUGUUCUCCAGUUCUCAAAAAUCAACAUAAGACUUUCAGGUUAUUCUUUCACUGCCUUUUUAAGACUUUAGAAUAUAUCUUCUUCCUCAUGUUUCCAUUAUAAGAACUGGAAUAUCUUUCAAAAUUAUGCAUAUUGCCUCUGCUUAAGUUUCUUUCUUGUUUUAAAAUAAAGUAUAGUACGGAUUUAUCCUUA